rnacentral:other from 1 species
GGUGCCCUGCUGUGUGCGUGAAACAGCUACUGCGUUCUGAGCCAACACCCACUUAUAGGGUUCCAAUCUUACGGUCGUGACGCGUUAGGCUUCGGCCAAGGCGGAUCUCCCGAGGCGGAAUCCCCCCUGCGAAGGCAGGUUCAGAACAUCGUUGUUCACGGCAUGGUGGGGCCUUU